UCUUUGUAAACUUAAGAUGAAGAGUCAUUCUUAAUAUUUCAAGCCUUUCAAUUGAAAAAUAAUUAUUGUCACAACUAUAUAAUCAAAGUUGGCAAUUGUUUUAUUGUUAUCUCUUUCGUUGUCUCUUGUAGUAGUUACACCAUCAACAAGUGCAUUUCCUGUAGAUUCACCAUUAAUCUACCAAGUCAUACCUACAGCAUUUCCAACUGAACUACCAGGUUCUUGAAAUCAACUCUAUCAUUCAAAGCUCCUAUCACGUUUAUGUGGAGUAUUCAAAGCUCCUAUCAUUCAACACUUUACGGGAACAAUAUACGAUACUUCAACCAUUAGAAGCUUUGACCAACAGUCAAGAUUUCAUGCAGCAGACAUGAAACUGUCGGAAGGGUGUUCUCAGCCAAAGUUCAAUAUUGCUGCUGCUAUGGAAUGGUUAUGCAUCCACUUAUUAUGAUGUCUUCCAUCACAUUUGUCUUUUCCUUGAUGUUCUUGAUAUUGAUUCUACCGAGAAUCAUAAAUCCAGGUCUUGCUGGUCUAGCUGUUACUUAUGGAUUGAAUUUACAAGCAUUCAAAGUGAGCCUCCCUUUGUUUAGAAGAAGUAAAUAGACCUGAUGCUUCAUGGCCCGCAUAUGGCAAGGUUAUAUACGG